AAAUACGACUCUCGGCAGCGGAUAUCUCGGCUCUCGCAUCGAUGAAGGACGUAGCGAAAUGCGAUACUUGGUGUGAAUUGCAGAAUCCAGUGAACCAUCGAGUCUUCGAACGCAAGUUGCGCCCGAGGCCAUUCGGCCGAGGGCACGCCUGCCUGGGCGUCUCG
rnacentral:rRNA from 1 species